AGGGAAAGGUGAAAAGCACCCCGCGAGGGGAGUGAAAUAGUUCCUGAAACCAUGCGCCUACAAGCGGUCGGAGCCGCGCAAGCGGUGACGGCGUGCCUUUUGCAUAAUGAACCUACGAGUUACCAUGUCCGGCAAGGUUUAGCGGUUCAGCCGCGCAGCCUCAGUGAAAGCGAGCCUGAAGAGGGCGUUUAAGUCGGAUGGGGUAGACGCGAAACCAAGUGAUCUACACUUGCCCAGGUUGAAGUUCCGGUAACACGGAAUGGAGGACCGAACCAAUAAGCGUUGAAAAGCUUCUGGAUGAGGUGAGUGUAGGAGUGAAAGGCCAAUCAAACUUGGAGAUAGCUCGUACUCCCCGAAAGGCAUUUAGGUGCCGCGUGCAGUGUUCUCCAUGAGAGGUAGAGCGACCGAUAGGUCAAGAGGGCUUCACCGCCUAUCGCGACCUGACGAACUCCGAAUGCUCAUGGACGGUAGCUGUGCAGUAAGGGGGCGGGUGCUAAGGUCCGUCCCCGAGAGGAGAAGAAUCCUGACCGCCGUCUAAGGUCCCGAAAUUCUGUGCUUAGUUAGUCUAACGAAGUCUGGUCCCCGUGACAGCUAGGAUGUUGGCUUGGAAGCAGCCAUUCAUUCAAAGAGUGCGUAACAGCUCACUAGUCGAGGGUCCGGGCGUGGAUAAUAAUCGGGUAUAAGCCAGAUACCGAAGACGCGGGAUAGCAUUGUAUAUAAAAAGUAUCGGUAGGGGAGCAUUCCAUCGACGCAGAAUGGUGAUAUUGAUUGAUCCUGGAGUUUAUGGAAAAGCAAAUGUAGGUAUAAGUAACGAUAAAAAGGGUGUGAUUCCCUUUCGCCGUAAGACCGAGGUUUCCCGGGCGAUGCCAAUCAGCCCGGGGUCAGUCGGGUCCUAAGCCUCAGCCGAAUGGCGAUGGCGAUGGCAGACACGGUUAAUAUUCCGUGACUUGCGCAUAUAGCGAUGUGGAGACGGAGCAGUGACACUGUCGCGUCCUGACGGAAAUGGGCGUUGAAGGUUGUAGGUGUUGAGGGAUACAGGCAAAUCCGUAUUCCGAGCUGAAUUCCGACAGUACGGUCUUCUUUUCGGAGACGACCGACAGCACAGGUAAUCAUACUCCCUAGAAAAUCCGCUAAGCAUAUGUUUGCGCAACCCGUACCGCAAACGGACACACGUGGUCGGGUAGAACAUACCAAGGCGUUGAGAGAUUCAUGGUUAAGGAACUAGGCAAACUGACCCCGUAACUUCGGGAAAAGGGGUCCUCAUGGCGACAUGAGGCGCAGAGAAUAGGUCCAGGCAACUGUUUAACAAAAACACAGGGCUGUGCCAACUCGAAAGAUGACGUAUACAGCCUGACACCUGCCCGGUGCCGGAAGGUUAAGAGGAGAUGUCACACUUAUGUGGAAGCAUUGAAUUGAAGCCCCGGUAAACGGCGGCCGUAACUAUAACGGUCCUAAGGUAGCGAAAUUCCUUGUCGGGU
rnacentral:rRNA from 1 species